rnacentral:rRNA from 1 species
GCAAUUUGGGAGGGAACUAAGCCAUGCGAGUCAUUGUAGUAAUACAAGGCAAACUGCUCAGUAACGCGUAGUCAAUCUACCCUAUGGACGAGGAUAACCUCGGGAAACUGAGAAUAAUACUCGAUAGAACACUAUGCCUGGAAUGGUUUGUGUUUGAAAUGAUUUAUCGCCGUAGGAUGGGACUGCGGCCUAUCAGUUUGUUGGUGAGGUAAUGGCCCACCAAGACUAUUACAGGUACGGGCUCUGAGAGGAGUGGCCCGGAGAUGGGUACUGAGACACGGACCCAGGUCCUAUGGGGCGCAGCAGGCGAGAAAACUUUGCAAUGUGCGAAAGCACGACAAGGUUAAUCCGAGUGGUUUGUGCUAAACGAACCUUUUGUCAGUCCUAGAAACACUAACGAAUAAGGGGUGGGCAAGUUCUGGUGUCAGCCGCCGCGGUAAAACCAGCACCUCAAGUGGUCAGGAUGAUUAUUGGGCCUAAAGCAUCCGUAGCCGGCUUUGUAAGUUUUCGGUUAAAUCUGUACGCUUAACGUACAGGCUGCCGGGAAUACUGCAUAGCUAGGAAGUGGGAGAGGUAGACGGUACUCGGUAGGAAGGGGUAAAAUCCUUUGAUCUAUUGAUGACCACCUGUGGCGAAGGCGGUCUACCAGAACACGUUCGACGGUGAGGGAUGAAAGCUGGGGGAGCAAACCGGAUUAGAUACCCGGGUAGUCCCAGCUGUAAACUAUGCAAACUCAGUGAUGCAUUGGCUUGUGGCCAAUGCAGUGCUGCAGGGAAGCCGUUAAGUUUGCCGCCUGGGAAGUACGUACGCAAGUAUGAAACUUAAAGGAAUUGGCGGGGGAGCACCACAAGGGGUGAAGCCUGCGGUUCAAUUGGAGUCAACGCCGGG